rnacentral:rRNA from 1 species
CAUGCAAGUCGAACGGUAACAGGAAUUAGCUUGCUAAUUUGCUGACGAGUGGCGCACGGGUGCGUAACGCGUAUACAAUCUACCUUUUGCUGAGGGAUAGCCCAGAGAAAUUUGGAUUAAUACCUCAUGGUAUUAUUGAUAGGCAUCUAUUAAUAAUUAAAGGUUACGGCAAAAGAUGAGUAUGCGUCCCAUUAGCUAGUUGGCGAGGUAACGGCUCACCAAGGCAACGAUGGGUAGGGGUCCUGAGAGGGAGAUCCCCCACACUGGUACUGAGACACGGACCAGACUCCUACGGGAGGCAGCAGUGAGGAAUAUUGGACAAUGGGCGAGAGCCUGAUCCAGCCAUGCCGCGUGCAGGAAGACUGCCCUAUGGGUUGUAAACUGCUUUUAUACAGGAAGAAUAAGCCUUACGUGUAAGGUGAUGACGGUACUGUAAGAAUAAGGACCGGCUAACUCCGUGCCAGCAGCCGCGGUAAUACGGAGGGUCCGAGCGUUAUCCGGAAUUAUUGGGUUUAAAGGGUCCGUAGGCGGAUGAUUAAGUCAGGGGUGAAAGUUUGCAGCUCAACUGUAAAAUUGCCUUUGAUACUGGUUAUCUUGAGUUGUAUUGAAGUAGGCGGAAUAUGUAGUGUAGCGGUGAAAUGCAUAGAUAUUACAUAGAACACCAAUUGCGAAGGCAGCUUACUAAGUACUAACUGACGCUGAUGGACGAAAGCGUGGGUAGCGAACAGGAUUAGAUACCCUGGUAGUCCACGUCGUAAACGAUGGAUACUAGCUGUUCGGG